rnacentral:rRNA from 1 species
GAUGAACGCUGGCGGCGUGCUUAACACAUGCAAGUCGAACGGGAUCCCAGGAGCUUGCUCCUGGGUGAGAGUGGCGAACGGGUGAGUAAUGCGUGACCGACCUGCCCCAUACACCGGAAUAGCUCCUGGAAACGGGUGGUAAUGCCGGAUGCUCCAGUUGACCGCAUGGUCCUCUGGGAAAGCUUUUGCGGUAUGGGAUGGGGUCGCGUCCUAUCAGCUUGAUGGCGGGGUAACGGCCCACCAUGGCUUCGACGGGUAGCCGGCCUGAGAGGGCGACCGGCCACAUUGGGACUGAGAUACGGCCCAGACUCCUACGGGAGGCAGCAGUGGGGAAUAUUGCACAAUGGGCGCAAGCCUGAUGCAGCGACGCCGCGUGCGGGAUGACGGCCUUCGGGUUGUAAACCGCUUUUGACUGGGAGCAAGCCCUUCGGGGUGAGUGUA